AGGACCUCGUGGCUCCUGGGGGGCACAGUGGCCAUGGUCCUCAUCCUUGGUGUGGCUCUCGCUGUCUUCUUUCUGUACCACCAGCAGCAGAAGAGCCAGCUGGGGACGGACAGUGGCAGGACUGACCUGUCUCCCUCCCAGAAGCUGGAGCCUCCUCCUGACAGCUACCUUGCACUGGAAGACAUCUAGAGUCUGCACCCAGAGCCAGCGAAGCAGCAGGAAGAGGAACUACAAAAACCACCCCUGCACUCCCCCUACUAUGACCUGGGGGUCUCCCCCUCCUACCACCCCUUGGUAAGGAGGACAGAACUGUGAGAACAGUACCCCCAGCCCAGAUCCACUGGCCUAGCUGAGAGUUCAGCUGCCUUAGGGGAAAGAAGACAAAGAAGGCUGAGAAGGCCAGCUCAGGCCAGGCACAGGAGGGCCCCCAAGAGUGGAGCCUGCAGAUCCCCCAAGCAAAGGGGUGCUUCACACUGGCCAGGCCAGGGAGGAAAGUAGGACUCCCAGGGAGCCUGAGCCCAGCCCAAUGCCCAGCUCUAUCUCCCCAAGGCCCAGCCCCUCAGCUCUGUAUCCUGCACCCCAGCCUCUAGAUCCUGCCAGAGACCUCCAGAAAGCCAGCCAUGUCCCCUCUUCCUGGCCCCACUCCCAGCUGCUUAGAGACUCAGCUUCUACUUGAAUAGAGGCCUCCUCUGCCCACACCCUUCUGUCAGCAGACUUGGGGCUUGGGGGUGGUACCCCAUAUGGUGCCAGCCCAGAGACCCAGACCAGAGCGCCUGGGCCCAAAGAUAACACCCUCUCUCUUGGCACUGGUGGGCAAGCCAGGCCUUUGUCUCCACACUGCAGCCAUCCUCCCUCUUAGCUGGAAGUGCCAAUGAAGGCCCAUCUUAGGAGCCAAAUCUGCCCCCAGGGAGGCCGCAUUCCCUUCCAGGAUGCUGGGCCUAGAGGACUAGCCUGGCCUCCUCUUCUUCUGAUACUGUGCAGAGAGCAAAGACCACCAGCUGGUCAGACUUGAGAGUGAGCUGGAACUUCCUGUAGACAGACAUAGAGCCCACUCCUCAGACAGCCGCUGGGCGUCCCAGUACUGUUCUCUCCAUCUGAGGGUGCAUCACAUGGCUCAGGCUGUACCAUGUGGCCCUGCCGGCUGUGACAGAGGGAUCACAAUUGCAGUGUAGAGCACUCAUUGUGUGCCAGGCACCUUGCUAGUUGCUAUUUAAACACCAUUCUUCUUAAUCUCAUAGCAAUCUAUGUAAUAAACCCUUUCACUAGCCAUUGGAUAGAUGAGGAAACUGAGACCCAGUGAACUCAAGAGACUUCCCCCAGAUCACCCAGUGAGUAACUGGGAAAAGUACAGCUCAAACCCUAGGUCUUCUGACUCCCAAGUUCAGGCACUGACCGUGCAGCUGCCACUAUGAGGACCAGCUGUGUAUGGAGUUACAUGGAGACAAAGAGCGGAAAGAAGGGCUCCAGGAGCCUUCAGGGGCAGCUCAGCUGCGUAGAGCCCUCUGUGGCCUCAGGCUGACUGUGUGCAGUGAAAGGCCUGGGUCUGCUCCCUGGCUGCCUCUCUGCUCCAGGAGCCCCGAGAGUAGGCAAGGCUGCCCUAGAAGUGUGUGAGCUGGGAUAGAGAGGAGAUACACUAUUCUGGAAAAGAGACAACCCUGCCCCAUUCAGGAUUUGCCAAACGGGCCUUCUCCCUCAAUCUCCAGUCAGGAGUCCCACGCAUUUCUCAGCGCCAUACAGGAGGGGGAGGGGGAAUCCUGAGGCAUGGAGGGAGAAGAUGAUGGAAGUUAGCAAUCUGAAAGCCAUAGAAGACUCCAAUAGGAUCCCCUGUAGCCUGGGCCCAGGCUCGGCAUAAAAAUCGCUGUGAUGUAACAGGACAGCUGCAGCUGGCCUUAAUCCCCACCAACAACUUCCCAUCUUGCUCUUGACUGCUGCCCCCUCUUCCUGGCAUGCACAGCCCUCCCUGGGGACCCAGGAGGAGCCAGGCCAUGCCUGAAAGCACCAGCUCAAGGACAGUGCUCAUACUGUGACUCCCCUCUGCACACUUCCCCUCCCUCCUUUCAAAGGAACAAAAGAACCCAAGACUUCAGCACAUGGCUCAGCUCAAGUUAGACUGACAAAAUGCCCAGAUGAGAUUAUCCAUUCAAGAGACUCUUGGGACAAAAAGCAAGGAGAACCACAUCUACCCACCAGCUAUUGCUGGAGGGGCCAGUUGAUGGGGCACCCAGGUAGAGAGAUGCCUGUAAGAAUGGCCUGUGGGGGUGGCAUGUACAGAACCCAGGGGAAGGGAAACUCUGGAAUCCUAGGGAAAUUCCCUUGUUGCCAAAAGAAGUGUAAUUCCUUUUAGCUCACAGAGCAAUUACUGGGCCAGGAAUGGAUUUAUCCCCAAUACUCUGGUUUGUUGGUGGUGCAGCUUGUAUGCAAGUCACAUUAUUGAUGUUGUCAUCAAUUCUCCUUCUCAACAAGUAGUGAGAGAGUGAGGCAGAGAGCUUGCCGUAUUCACCAGGGCAGGACUGAGUUGGGAGCCUGCAGGGAGCCUGAGGGGCCAGCAACCUGAAGCUCAUCGAAGCUUAGGGUCCCCAGCCUGAGUAGGCCCAGGUCCCCUAUCUUUGUGGACUAGGCCCAUGCUGUACACACAUCUGAGGGUUCCAACUAAGGCAUGGCACUCCUCCCAGUUCUGCCAAGGUUUCUGGGCUAGGAGUCCACUCGGGUGGCAGGUACCAUCAUUUGGAGAGCUGGGUGGAUCUCAGGGAGAAUUUGGGAGGAUCCACAGCUGGUGUCUGGAGGAGGAGAGGAGACAUGGCUUCACCUUUAAGGAGAGGGGCUGCCACCUCCUCAGCACUGUGAGCACAUACAGCCCAGGCUAGAAGCAGAAGACCCGGCACAAUGGCCCUUGGAGGACAGAGUUCUCAAGAUACUGAAUCAGCUCAGAGCCCCCAAGAAACAGACACCAUGGUGAGAUUAGACAGGCAAGAGGCACUGGGGGCACCUGUGAGGACAUGGGAGGCAGAAGGAGAGGGCAAGCAGAUCCUUGAUGCUGCCCAAGCUAGGAGAGGAGAAUGGAAGCAGGACUGGCUAGGAAGUCUUAGGAUGACAGCACAAUCUAGCCAGGCAGUAGAGAGUCUUUGGGCCCUCAUUCCCAUUAGAGAACUCCUGUGCUCCACAGCAGUGUGUGUGUGCCAGACCCACCCUGGCCAGUCUGUUUUGGGAGAAGUCUGGGACAAGUGUAGCCUUGGUACAGUGCCAUGGAUCCAGAGGGACAGCAGGUAGGGCUGCAGCCAACCAUGCUCACAUCACAGGAGAUCUGAGCCAUCCAUGUCCAUAGCUACCAUAGUCACAUAGGUCUUUUCAUCCAUCUGGGUUCAGGGAGCAGCUCCUUCACAACUCAGGGGGCUUCUCUUUCUAAGGGAUGGAGCCCCUCUGCUGUGGUAGACCUGAAAGCCAUGACCCAUACUCCCCAUCUCCUUUCUAUAUCCAUUUUCUGCUCCCCUCACUCAGCUAUCUCCACAGUGUAUCACAGAAGCCAAUCUGGGAGCGUGAUCCAGAUCUCCAUCCUGAGGACUCUGAACCCUUGAUGAGUGUGCCCUUUUCAUGCAGGCUUGUUGCAUGUCUCCAUACAUGGUCAAUCAGGAGAGGCACCCCAAGCAAGCCAUGUAUGGGUUCUACCUGCUCCUCCCUACACCUGGUAUGGUACAGCCACCCACACCCGUCUUGCUGGUGGAAGUCAAUUACCCCUACCAACAUGUGACUCCUCUUCUUGCCUGCUGGUUCCAGGACACAUGGAGUCUAGGUGUACAGGCAGCAGCCCUAUCUUCUGCCCCAAUGGGACCAUCCACACUGCAGAGCCCAAAGUUGCAGGACAGAAACACAAAGUCUCCCAGUGGGUCAUUGAGAGUAGCAGAAAAUCACUCGUGCUAGAUUUCAUCCUUUAGUUCCUUCUUCCUCCUGGGGACACAGCUCCAUUUAGAGGCCUUUCAAAGUACUGCCACUAAGCUGUCCUUCAGCCGGCAUUUAGAAGACUCCUCUAGCAGGUAUGAUCAGGACUACCACUUGAUUGAGGAAAUAGCCAUUGACCAACUCAGUCUGCCAGUUUGCUAUUAUAAGAUAGCAUCAUCUGGGUGACCAUAAAAAGAGAGAUGUAUUUCUCACAGUCCUAAAGAGCCUAGAAAGUCCAAAACCAAGGCUGGAAGAUUCAGAUCCUGGCAAAGACAGUGCUUUCUAGUGCAUCUCUCUGUGCCUUCAAAUGGUGGAAGAAGAACGGAGUCCUAUCCACCUAGAGGCUUCAGUUCCUAGUAUUAUCAUCUUGGGGGCUAGGAUAUCAACAUGGGAUUUGGAGGAUGCCAACAUUCAGACCAGAGCAUCAACUAUCAUCCUCUAGAAUCCAUUUGGUUUUUGUAAGGGCCAGACUUACGCAUUAAAUGGAGAUAAGAUUGAAACCACCACCCCUGCAUCCUUUAGGUCUUAAAUGAAGGCACUAAUCUCUCCCACAUCAGUUUGUUUUAUUCUCUUGGUCAUAGAAUGGCAGCUUCAGAGGCGUGCUCUUGCAUCUCAGCCCACAGACCAAGGACCCAAUGUGGAGUUAGUAUGUCAAUCCCAGUUCUGCCCUUAUGUGCUGGGGAUAUGCCAUGCCCCUAGAAAUGAAUUUGUCCUAUCCUUUGGGGUCCUCAUGAAGGUGUUGAAUUCCACGUUCUGCAAAAGUACACUCAAGAAAAUGAAUUCUGGCUUAUGGAGAGCUUGUUGUGGCCCUCUUAAUCAUGAAUCCUCAAAACCCACCUAAGGAUGCUCAUCUGGCUUCUGCCAAUGCUUGCUGGCCAAUUCCUGCCCCUCCUUGCUCCAAGGUAUGUAAUCCUCUGUGAUCAGGUCCAACAUG